UACGUAGGGGGCAAGCGUUGUUCGGAAUUACUGGGCGUAAAGGGCGCGUAGGCGGCACAGCAAGUCGGGAGUGAAAGCCCGGGGCUCAACCCCGGAAUGGCUUUCGAAACUGCUGAGCUAGAGUACAGAAGGGGCAACCGGAAUUCCCAGUGUAGCGGUGAAAUGCGUAGAUAUUGGGAAGAACACCUGAGGCGAAGGCGGGUUGCUGGGCUGAUACUGACGCUGAGGCGCGGAAAGCCAGGGGAGCAAACGGG
rnacentral:rRNA from 1 species